rnacentral:tRNA from 1 species
GCAUGGGUGGCUCAGUUGGUUGAGCAUCUGACUUCAGCUCAGGUCAUGAUCUCACAGUUUGUGAGUUCAAGCCCCACAUCAGGCU